rnacentral:rRNA from 1 species
UACAGAGGGUGCGAGCGUUAAUCGGAUUUACUGGGCGUAAAGCGUGCGUAGGCGGCUUUUUAAGUCGGAUGUGAAAUCCCUGAGCUUACUUAGGAAUUGCAUUCGAUACUGGGAAGCUAGAGUAUGGGAGAGGUGUAGAUUCCAGGUGUAGCGGUGAAAUGCGUAGAGAUCUGGAGGAAUACCGAUGGCGAAGGCAGCCAUCUGGCCUAAUACUGACGCUGAGGUACGAAAGCAUGGGGAGCAAACAGGAUUAG